rnacentral:lncRNA from 1 species
UAACAAUGUUCCAAAAGGAGAAAUAAGGUAUAGCAUCUCACUACAAAUCCUCCAUCUCAAAACAUGGGGCCUGGAGUGGCCCCCCAAGACCCUACCCCUAAAACAAACUGGCUGUGGAUAUGGUGACAGAUUAGAAAGUUAAACCCUUCACCUCCAUGAAAGAAUCUGGAAUGGAGCAAACCCAUCAUUUACCUAAGAAGGCAGAAGGUGAGACAGUCCCAUUGCUGCGUGACACCAUGACACUGAUGCCUGUCUCUAUGAAGGGCACAGAGAAGUCGACCACCUCCGAUCGUUCCUCAUUGAUGAUGGCUACAGAGGAGUUUGAUGACUUGCCCAAGCUCCCACGGUAAGUGACUUGAAGCUGAGCAGUCUGACUCCAGAGCUUGGACUCCUACCCACCACUCUGCACUGCUUCUCUGACAAUGAAGGAGUAAGACAUGUUCCUUUUCCUCCAAGGACAGUCUAGAGGGAAAAGACACUAUCCAUCGACAAUAAUAGGCUUUGGUAAUUACUCUAAUAUCCACUAUCCAUUGACAAGUUAGGCUUUGGUAAUUACUGUAAUAAAAGAUAUAAAUAAAGUACUCCGG